ACCACGAACCCACCAGAAGGAAGAAACUCCGAACACAUUUGAACAUCAGAAGGGAUAAACUCCAGACGUGCCACCUUAGGAGCUGUAAACCUCACCGUGAGGGUGCGCGGCCUCAUUCUUGAAAUUGAGUUGACUUCAAGAAUCGGUCUUCGAGCUUCUUUCCUCAGCUUGGUUGAUUCUGCUGUUAAUACUUGAACCCAGCCAGCAUGCUUGUGAGAAGCAUGCCUGAGUCCUAGAGAGUCAAUAGUCUCUGAUGAAUGCCACCCAACAGUCAAUAUCAACUGAAAGCCAUCUGCGUGAGCCAUCUCAGUCCAGUCAAGCUAUCAACAUGACUGCAGCAGCACUGGAGACUGCAAGAAAGAAUUGCCCAGCUUAGGCCAGUCAACACACAGGAUUACAAAAGGAGUUUUGCUGGUGGUUAAGUAUAUAUUUCAAUGGUCCGUGUAAAGGAAACAACAGUAGACAAAGAAAAUUGUAUUUCUCGGCUGACUGUAUUGUCUUUCCUGAGGACCCUCAUCAUAACAACUUUUUCUCUGGUGACAGAUUUCCAAUGAAUCACCCUGAAGUAGUACCUGCAAUGACGUUGCACACACUAUUCUCUGCAAUCAGCUGUGCGAAGACAGCUGUCACUCCUCUUCGUCACUAAAGGGAAUCCCAGUCUGAUGGCAGCAGUCCCAUGGUAAGAUCUGGUCUGCAGAGAAGAACCAUCACAGAACUCUCCAAGAAUAUAUUUAUCAAAGCCAUGUGGAAGAGAGUAUCCUCUGGACCAUCCCAGGAUGAUUCCUGGCCACAGCAAAGAGGAAGCUUGGGUUUGCAUGUCCAGGACCUCCACCCUAAGUAUUCAGGCACUCUUUUUGACAUCAUUGCUGUUGUUACUUAGGUGUAUCUCCUUGGUUGUGUUUCUCCAUUCUGCUAUAAAAACUGAGAAAACACAGAGACUAAUCAGUCAUUGAAUAUUAUGGAUGAGUCUUUGAAAAGGCAUUUUGCCCCGUCUUCUGCCCCUCAAGUAAGUGUUUAGCUGUAUCAUUCCAAACACAUGAGAAUCUAUUUGGCUCCAGAACUGCAGGGAAAUAAGGUACAGUCUUCCUCAGUAAACCCUGCCACUGAUAAUAUUAUCAUGUAUGAAAUUAUGAAUGAAUUUAUUGACUAAUUGACAAUAUGUCAGUUGGAGAAUUUAAUCUUGAGUGUACCGUUUUCACAAUGCAGCAAACUUUGAAGUUACUAUCAAAAGCCAGAUGUCUUUAAGGUAUGUUAAAAAUUCAGUCAAAACUUUAAAAAUUUAAUAGGAAUAAUACAAGCCUUGCUCUGUAGAUUGUUUGAAGGUUGCUAUUGCAACGCUUGAA
rnacentral:lncRNA from 1 species